AUGGUUCCUGGCUAGAAUUAUGACGUCAACCUCGUACUGCAAGAUAAUCACCAGUAAUCAGGUUUUUCCAAGUCCCAUUUUCGAAUUCAUUAUUGAGCGCAUUUAGUGAACACUCGACAAUUACCAGUGCUUGCAGGAAAUUGGUUGGUCGAACCCAAUUGGUACCGCAUGGACAACAGAAAAAAGUGAUUUGCUCAAUGCGUGGUACCACUGGCUUAGUGCAGAAUAUUAUAAUAACUCGUACGGAAUAACAAAAGCGAUAUUCUUUGUUGAAAGUGCGUUGUUAGUGGGCUGGUGAUUGCAGCCUCGAUGUUGUUCUGGUUGAUCAACGUUAAGUGGAAUCAGUGGUUUAGUUGAAAUUUCGUGCUAAUGCCCCCAUCCGGCUUUAAUCAGUAAAGGUACGACCUUAGAGCGCCAAAUCAUGUUCUGAAGUCCCACUCAGAAGGAAGUUAGAUUCAAUGACAUUAGUAGCAACAUCGGACCUUUCUUGUACCAACCAGCUGCCAUCCAGUGCUCCAUGCAACUGCAGUUCCGAUGAAGAAAGCGAAUCAGAUUGCAGCGGGGAUGAUAGCAUGUGCGUUCAGCAACUUCAGUCCGACUCCAAGUGCAAUGAGGACUGUCUUAUGCAAUCGUUGGGUUACCCGAACAGUAACAUCUUUCCCUCGUAUGGCGAAGUGUCGAUUGAAAACUCCAACGAUGUGCAUAUUGGGAACAAGAACUUCUAUAACGGACCGGUGAAGAUCAAGCAAAUAGUGUACGCCAAUGGCAAUCCGGCAUUGGUGAACAGUAGUGAUAAAGCCAAAGACAAUUUAGGUUUCGAGAUGGACGGUGGACAUUCUGCUGCUGAGGUAAAAGACUGCUAUAAAGAUCCGGAGCUGGCUGAUCAGGCAGCUACUGAAAGUCCUCAAAGUCCCAUUAGAAAUGGCUUCAUCUGGUUGCAGAACGUUUCGAAGCACCGCUCAGUGGAAAUUGGGAUUUUUGUAAUAGUGGUCAUUCUGUUUUUUAUCGUAUUGAUGGUGCUGCUGGUUCUGGGACGUUCGCCUGCUGUUGUCAGCAAUCCUUCUAAUGGUACGUCUGCAGAACCCAAUAUUAUUAAACCCAUUGAAUACGAUCCAGAUUUAACGACGUCAAGCCAAAAGGACACCAACCUGCGAAUGGUGUCGCGCUACGAAUGGGUGGCGCAGCCUCCAAUCAAAAAAACUACAACACUGCAAACUCCAGUGCCAUACGUAAUCAUUCAUCACACAGCUACGGAAUUUUGUACUUCGCAAGCUCAGUGCGUUUUUCAUGUUAGAACAAGAAUCCCCAGGGUCCAGCUCAGUUUCUUCUCGGCAAUCUUAGUUAUUUUUCUUCUUCAGUGCUUCAUCAAAAUACCUGUGAGGCUUCUUCAUUUUUGGAAAUCGCCUGCAGAACGAUAGAGAAGAAUUGUUAGGAAUAAAAUUGAUUUCAUUCUUCUCGACCUAUACUUUAGGAAUAAAUAUUAAGAAAUACAUAUAUGAAAUCCGUAAAAACUCAUCAUCGACCACAAUCUUGUGAUUUUGGACUUUGAAUUAAAAAGAUUCCGGACGGUGCAAGGAGACAGUAAAACAAGAAAAACAGAUAUUGCCCAACUGAAAAGCCCCUUUAGAAAAACUAAAAGAAUUAGAAACGGUCAAUAUAGAGGCCUGGAGAUCACCCCGUGACAGGACGGAUUAAGUGAUUAGAAAGAAACCAGAUCGACUUCCUACUUGUGAACAAAAGGUAUCGAAAUAGCUGUACAUCAGUAAAAGCAUAUCAGAAGCUGACAUACAUUCAUAUCAUAAUCUCUUGGUCGGUGUAUUCAAGAUAAAGAUGAAGAGACUAAAGAAGAGCAACGCCCAAAAAUAUGAUCUAAGGAAACCAACAGAACCAUCAAUAAACCAUCGUAAUAACAUACUUAAAUAACGAAAUCAAAUCCCUGCUGUUAUCCUCAACAGCACAAUUAAGAACAUCAAAUACGACUUGUUACAAGCUGAUAAAAUAAAAAGGAAACCCUGGAUGACCGAUGAGAUUCUCCAGUUGAUGGAGCAACGAGGAAAAAGAAAUACUGUUAUGGCGCAUACAACAGCAUAAACAAAAUAAUUAAAAUAAAGGUCCCUCAAGGCAAGGAAAGCGACAUUAAAGAAAAACUUUGAAAUAGAAACACUGCAGACAAAAGAAACUGAAAUGUUAAAGAGUUAACUGGGACGUAUAAACUUGAACAUGUGACCACCCUAACCAACAACGAAGGAAAACCUAUAACUAAUGUAGCUGACUUGAAAGAUACAUAAGAAACUUACACAGAACAACUCUUUUCAAGACAAGACCGUAACCUCCCAAAGUAGAUGAUGAUGCAGGUCCAGAUGUCGUCAUUAACGAGGUCAGAACAGCAAUAAAAUCCUCGAAGGAAGGAAAAUCCCCGGGAUCGGACAACAUAAAUAUAGAGUUCUUCAAACUUUUUGAUGAAAACAGCAUGAGGUGGUUAAUGAAAGUGUCUUGCGUAAAAAAUGAGGAGCUAAAAAGUGUGAAGACUUUAGAACAAUAAGUGUGAUGAGCAAUCUACUGAGACUAUUCUUAAAAAUCAUACACAGCAGAGUCUACAGGAUCUGUGAAGACCAAAAGCACCUGCAUAGUUUGGUUUCAGAGAUGCAGUGGGAACACGGGAGGACAUAUUCAUAUAGCAUCAAAGUUUUAUUUCAGCGAUACAAAGACAUGCAUUAACUGGAGCGUGUUUGCAUGUUUUGGUGACUGCCAGAAGCCCUUUCAGAGAGUAAAACAUCGAAAAAUGAUGGAAAUUCUGAAAAAUGUAGUCUUGGAUGGACGGGACAUCAACAUAAUAGUCCAUUUCUACUGGGAAAAGAGACAACAGAGCAAAUGAAUAUACUGAUUGGUGUAAUGCAGAGCUGCAUUCUCGCCCCAUUAUUGUUCAAUUUAUAUUCAGAAUUCAUAUUAAGAGAACUCUUAAAACACAGAUACAGGAAUAUCCUUGAAUCGAGAAAGAGUGAACAAUAUUCGUUAUGCAGACGAUUCGGUCGUUUUUGCUGCCAGCAUAGAGGAGUUACAGAAUCUCAUGAAUAGAAUAACAGAGUGCAGUCUGAACAUUAAAAUUAAAGACAAAACUAGCGAUUAAAAUUUAAAGACAACAUUAACAACUGUAACUCUGGGGAACGAGCAAUGGGAUCAUUCGCAGGUAAUACGAAGCAGAAUUCAAAAGGCCAGAACUGCAUUCAGCAAGACGAGACAUCUGUUCACAAGCCAUCACAUAACAUUGCACUGUUACGCGUUCUCUGUCCUGUUUUACGGGGUAGAAGCAUAGACGCUUACUGAAGCCACAACGAAAGAAUUGGAGGCAUUCGAGUUAUGGCUGAAAAUACCGUGGACAGACCACAUAACAAAUAUAGAGGUUGUGAACAGAAUGGGUAAGGAACAGGAAGUGGUUAAUUCUGUGAAGGAGCGAAAGCUCCAAUAUUUGGGACACGUAAUAAGGAAUGAAAACAGAUUUCACCUAGUGCAGACUCUCUUGCAAGGAAAAGUACUAGGGAAACAAAGUGUGGAUAGAAGAUGAAUCUCAUGGUUAAGAAACCUUAGAACCUGGUUUGGUAUGAGUACAACUGAGCUGUUCCCGGCUGCAGUGAACAAAGUUAAGAUUUUAUUUAUAAUAAUACAGAAGCGCAAAAAAUAGAGAAUGUAGACGUUGAAGGAAUGUGAAAACGCCUUUAAAACUAAACUAAAAAAGUAAAAGCUCUCGAUAUGACAGGAUAUGUAAGAAACAACAAAAAACAAAAAUGGAUCUCAUGGAAGAAAGACGAAAAUGGGAAGCAAACCCACUAGAACUCGAACAACUUAAUAAAAUCAUCAGGAAACAGGGCAGAGAAGUCGACGAAAAUUGGAUGUCAGCAAAAUGUCGAGAAAUUGGACAAGUUCAGGAAGCAUAUGUCAUUUUCAAUGUCCACAAUGAGUAAAAGAAAAGACAGCGAGAAACAGAAAUUAGGAAAUAAUCGUAGGGACAGAAGACAAACUUGCUAGAUGGAAAAAUCCGUUGAAACACCUUUUAACGAUGAUAGACCUGGUGUUCCUCCAUUCUCAGACAAUAAGAUCAAUGGAAAAUCUCCAUCAAUCGUGACAAAAUGAACGAGGAAAUACUUAAAUUAGUCGCAGGAAUUCGCACUACUCCAAACACAAGGCCCCAGGGGGAAUCAAGAUUAACGAAACCUCGAUAAGUAACAUUAGACACGCUGAUGACACUGUUCUAAUAGCAAACAACGUACAAGAUCUUCAAAUUAUAAGUUGAGUUUAUGUCUGCAUAUAAACCAAAAUACUAGUCUACUCGAAGAUGCCAAUAAACAUACACCUGUCCAACAUGCCAAAGCCAGACCUUAGCCCGAGAAACCGUGGUCAGAUGCUACGAUGUCUCUGCUUUACUCUUCGCGUGCGAAGAAGUGUAGAAGCUUUUGAAAUUUGCAUAUGCAGACGAAUGCCACGAAUUUCAUAGGUACACUAAUCAUGAAGUACUCGAACCCAUUAGCAAACAAGAGGAAUUGAUAACACCAUCAAAUAGAGAAAAAUUCAAUACUUGAGUCAUGUAUUGAAAGGAGAAAAAUCCAAAUGACUUCAACUCAUAAUAGAGGGUAAAAUAUCUGUAGGAAGACGCCAUAAUUCAUGAUUGCAAGAUGUGAGAAGGUGGUUUGAGCGCUCAUCCACAUAAAUAUUUUGUGCUGCAGUUUACAAAACAACAAUAACUAUUUGGAUCGCCAACCUUCGGAAGAAGUGGGUGCAAUGAGAAGAAGAAUUUUGACGAACUGAAGAGCACUUCAAGCGCAGAAACCGUUUUUUCUGAAAAAGGCUAAAGAAGAGCGACUUCAUUUUAGAGAUAAAGAUAAUUACUAUUUGGCUCCUGUUCUGUGCAGGUAACUUCAUCUCCAGCAGAAGAAAUUUAUUGUCCAAAAGCAAAAACAACCGAAUUCGAAUAAUUUUACAAUAAUACGUCCUUGUUCAGACAACUACUUUAAUUUAAUGGGCUGUGACCAGUUUAAGGCAAAUUCAGACCUUUCAUAUCGAAAGCAGAGGAUGGUUUGACAUUGC